AGCAGCGUGGCUCAGUGGAAAGAGCGUGGACUUGGGUGUCAGAGAUCCUAGGUUCGAAUCCAGGCUCUGCCA
rnacentral:tRNA from 1 species